CUUUAAAAAUCUGGAUCAAGCUGAAAAUUGAAACACAGAACAACGCAAGUUGUUCGUGAGUCUCUCAAUUUCGCAAUCCUGAAGUGAAACAUCUUCGG
rnacentral:sRNA from 1 species